UCGUGCGAGAAAGUAUCUUCGGAUAUGAGUAGAGCGGCGGACGGGUGAGUAACGCGUAGGAAUCUACCUAGUAGAAGGGGAUAGCCCGGGGAAACCCGGAUUAAUACCGUAUACCUCCUUCGGGAGAAAGAAGGCCUCUCUUUGAAGCUUUCGCUAUUAGAUGAGCCUGCGUAAGAUUAGCUUGUUGGUGAGGUAAUGGCUCACCAAGGCAACGAUCUUUAGCUGGUCUGAGAGGACGAUCAGCCACAUUGGGACUGAGACACGGCCCAGACUCCUACGGGAGGCAGCAGUGGGGAAUAUUGGACAAUGGGCGCAAGCCUGAUCCAGCCAUACCGCGUGUGUGAAGAAGGCCUUCGGGUUGUAAAGCACUUUAAGCAGGGAGAAAAAGUUAUAAGUUAAUACCUUAUAACCGUGAUGUUACCUGCAGAAUAAGCGCCGGCUAAUUCCGUGCCAGCAGCCGCGGUAAUACGGAAGGUGCAAGCGUUAAUCGGAAUUACUGGGCGUAAAGCGCGCGUAGGUGGUUUGUUAAGU
rnacentral:rRNA from 1 species